rnacentral:tRNA from 1 species
GCAUCGGUCGUCCAGCGGCCAGGAUUUCGCUUUCGUAAUGCGACGACGCGGGUUCGAGUCCCGCCCGAUGCU